GAUAAACGCUGGCGGCGUGCCUAAAACAUGCAAGUCGAACGGUCCCCUUCGGGGGGCAGUGGCGGACGGCUGAGUAACACGUGGGUGACCUGCCCUCGAGCGGGGGAUAACUGCCCGAAAGGGUGGCUAAUACCGCAGACCUCUGGUGUUCGGUCAGCAGAGUGAACCUUCGGGGUUCGGGGAGGGGCCCGCGGCCGAUUAGCUGGCUGGUGGGGUAACGGCCUACCAGGGCUGCGAUCGGUAGCUGGUCUGAGAGGAUGAUCAGCCAGACUGGGACUGCGAACGGCCCAGACUCCUACGGGAGGCAGCAGUUAGGAAUUUUGGGCAAUGGGCGAAAGCCUGACCCAGCAACGCCGCGUGGGUGAUGAAGGCCCUCGGGUCUUAAAGCCCUUUUCCCAGGGAAGAUGGUGACGGUACCUGGGGAAUCAGCCCCGGCUAACUACGUGCCAGCAGCCGCCGUAAAAC
rnacentral:rRNA from 1 species